GUGAUAUUAAUAUAAUUAGUAUAUACUCCUUCCAAGAGUAAUGUUUUAGUAAUAUCAU
rnacentral:tRNA from 1 species